rnacentral:rRNA from 1 species
UACGAAGGGGGCUAGCGUUGCUCGGAAUCACUGGGCGUAAAGCGCACGUAGGCGGAUUGUUAAGUCAGGGGUGAAAUCCUGGAGCUCAACUCCAGAACUGCCUUUGAUACUGACGGUCUUGAGUUCGGGAGAGGUGAGUGGAACUGCGAGUGUAGAGGUGAAAAUUCGUAGAUAUUCGCAAGAACACCAGUGGCGAAGGCGGCUCACUGGCCCGAUACUGACGCUGAGGUGCGAAAGCGUGGGGAGCAAACAGGG